GAGCCUCCUGUUCUUCCUCUGGGUCAGUUCAGCCAGAAGUUUGUCCACUUCAUCACACAGUGGACCAUGCCUUCAUCUUGCUCUACGACGAUGGCAAUGCGGAGGUGGUGUCCAUGUGGGUGUGUCGCUGCCUAGAGGAGAGGAGAACCCAGGCUCAGGGACAGAUGUGACCCCGUAAACACAGGAGAUCACAGAGAAGUUAAGCGGUCAAGGGUAUCAUGUAGGGCCAGGAUGAUACCCGUAUCUCUAUACUCGUUAAUAUCGUGGCAAAGAAACAAAACACCAAGCGCUUUUAACUUCGUUAGGAAAACAGUCCUGAUGUUGGAAACAAAACAUCAUUAUGAUGUCAUCCAGAGUCACAUGUAUUUAUUUUCUAUCUAUAGCUCACAAUAUUUUACAUACAGCAGGUGUUUAAAGGACUGAAAGAGUUUGGUCUGCUCUGUGUUUUCAUUUUUGCCAUAGAAACAAUAUUGCGAUACUGGUAUGGUCCCGGCCCUAAUAUCAUGCCCCAAUCUCUCUGGACUUUGACCAUUCGUGAACCCCAGGAGUGGACAGUAAAUAUCAAAGACACGGUUUGUAAACCGUAUUGAAG
ensembl:lncRNA